CGGGUGAGUAACACGUGGGUAACCUGCCCGGAAGUGGGGAAUACCUCGGGGAAACUCGAGCUAAUACCGCAUGACAUCUCAGGGACGAAAGUCCCGGCGAUCAAAGCGGGGCCGCAAGGUCUCGCGCUACCGGAUGGGCCCGCGCCCGAUUAGCUAGUUGGUGGGGUAACGGCUCACCAAGGCGACGAUCGGUAACCGGCCUGAGAGGGCGAUCGGUCACACCGGAACUGAGACACGGUCCGGACUCCUACGGGAGGCAGCAGUGGGGAAUCUUGCGCAAUGGGCGAAAGCCUGACGCAGCAACGCCGCGUGGAGGAUGAAGGCCCUUGGGUUGUAAACUCCUGUCGGCUGGGAAGAAAUCAUACGGUGCUCAUACCACCGUAUGUUGACUGUACCAGCAAAGGAAGCCCCGGCUAACUCUGUGCCAGCAGCCGCGGUAAUACAGAGGGGGCCAGCGUUAUUCGGAAUUAUUGGGCGUAAAGGGCGCGUAGGCGGCCAUGCGUGUCUUCCGUGAAAUCCCUCGGCUUAACUGAGGACGUGCGGAAGAAACUGCAAGGCUCGAGUCCGGGAGAGGGGGGUGGAAUUCCCAGUGUAGCGGUGAAAUGCGUAGAUAUUGGGAGGAAC
rnacentral:rRNA from 1 species